AGACGCAGAGAACUGAAACAUCUAAGUACCUGCAGGAAGAGAAAGAAAAUUCGAUUCCCUGAGUAGCGGCGAGCGAAACGGGAAAAGCCCAAACCAACAAGCUUGCUUGUUGGGGUUGUAGGACUCCGAUAUGGUAGUUCUUUCAGAUAGUCGAAUGACUUGGAAAAGUCAGUCAAAGAGGGUAAAAACCCCGUAGACGAAAUGUGGAAGACACCUAGGAGGAUCCUGAGUACGGCGGAACACGAGAAAUUCCGU
rnacentral:rRNA from 1 species